AUGAUGGCACCCAAGGAUGUGCUGGUAUCUCAACUGGACUCUUGCUAUACCAUUCCAGUCACCAGGUGUGAUCAGAUUAAGAAACUAACCAAUGCCAUCUCAAAAGAAAAGAAACCAAGGUCAGGGUCUCUCUAUAAACUAUCCCGAGGUGCACAGUCCCUAGGCUGUCCUUUAAUGGCCUUGAGCAAAGUAAAAGUUUCAGGGAAAGAGAGAAGAAUGAGUAAGGAAAUUUCUCAUUUAUUCCCUGUCAACGUUCCCUCUUUCCUUUGGGCCACAGGCCCCUUUUAGGAAGACAGUCCAUUCUUUGGUUCAGUCAAGUGCUUAAUAGGCUCAGCUUUGACAGAAAACUCAUUUGUUCUUAUACUAUAGUAUACUUUAAAAUUUUGCAAUCUUUUUUGCCAUUAUGCCCAUUUAUAUGAUUAUACAAACAGUCCUCACUUUGCAGGGCACCUUUGUACAGAGAUUCAUGUAUAUUGAAACUUUGUCCUUGUUUUACAUGGUUCCAUGUAUCUAAGAUUUGAUUUGAUUUAAGAACUUCAUACUUCCUGGGGAAAGUUGUCACCAUGAGGCAUGAUAUCCCUCAUCUUCACAUUUCUACACCAACUCAUACUUGCAUUCAUCCACAGGGGGGAAGUGUCCCUCUUCUCCCAUGGACCGCAGCAUCACCUGUACUCUGCAUCCCACCCUAGGGGAAGAGAGAAUCAAUAUUUCAAAAUAUCCUCCAUUUAACACGUUCAGUGAUUCACUACUUUUGUAUUCCCUGUGUCUGUCACUUAGUAGGGCUUUAUUCUCUUAGUUUUGAAACACUGCUCUCUCCUGCUUUCCUUCCUUCCACAGUGUGUUCUUUUUUCUUUGUUUUGCUAGCUCUUCCUCUGACUACCUCAUUUGGAGUAACUCAGGAGUUGGUCACAGGCUGCCAUCUUUUCCAUCUCUAACCUUUGCCCCUAAGUGAUCUCAUCAGUUCCCAAGGAAGUGAGCUCUGUUGUGCUGAUGACUCCCACAUUUACAUUGGAGGCUACAUCUCUCCCGUGAGCUCUUUACUCUCAUGUCCAAAUGCCUGCCUGACAUUUCCCCUUGGAUGUGUCUCAGAUUCUCCAAUUUAACAGAUCCAAAAUGGAAUUCUGGAUUUUUCCCUUUCCAUGUCCAUUUUCUCAAACCCCUGUUCUUCUCUUCUUCUAAAAAGUACAGUGUUCUAUCAAGUUAUUCAAGCCAAAAAUCUAGGAAUCCUUCCUUUCUGAUAAACUAGAUAUUACACACAUUAGCAAGCCUUAUUGAUUCUACCUUGAAA
rnacentral:lncRNA from 1 species